rnacentral:lncRNA from 1 species
UCUGUAAAUAAUUAAUGCUGGUGAAAUUGAACCAGAGACAUCAUUAGCACUUAUAAAUGGGAUAUCUUCCCCCUGAUAAUAUAAGGAAGCCCCAAGCCCAUGGUUUCUGCUGCUCUUGACAUCCUUUUACAGAGCUUCCCUCACCUCCCCACUAUUAGCUCCAUGUAUCUAGUAGGCUUUUUCUGGAAAAACUCACAUUUCUUGGUCAUGCUUACUGUGAGGAACAUCUGAAAUUGAAAGAAACCUGGUAGCCCAGGAAGCCAGUCCAGAGAUUCUCAGAAGGCAGCUGUGAUGCUUCAGAACUAUGUGUUAACAAAUGAAGAUGGAGGUUUUAAAGUUUAAUAGACCUGGUUUCAGACCCUAACUCUGCCUCUUGCUGGCUAUAUGACUUUGGAUAAGCUAUACAACCAUGGGGCACCUGGGUGGCUCAGUGGUUGAGCAACUGCCUUUAGCUCAGGGCAUGAUCCUAGGGUCUCAGGAUCAAGUCCCACAUCAAGCUCCCCACAGAGAGCCUGCUUCUCCCUCUGCCUAUGUCUCUGCCUCUCUCUUUGUCUCUAAUGAAUAAAUAAAAUCUUGUUUUUUUUUAAAAAAAAAAAAGCUAUACAACCACAUCUCAGCCUUACUUGUAAAUAGAAAUGAUAAUUAAUCUCAUAAUAGUUUGGCAUGGAACAAAUUCAUUUGGACAUAUGCAACACUAACACUGUACCUGGCAUGAAAUAAGUACUUUGUAUUAGUUCCUUCUUUGCCAUCCUUUUCUCUACCUUUGAUAACACCACACAGGAUCAGCAGAUUCCUGCAAGUUUUCCUACAGAAGCUUCAGUCACUUACUUGAACCCAAUCUUUGCCCCGUUUUUCAUGAGCCUGGCAUCCCCCAAACAAGGAAGGGUGAAGUCCAUGUGAGAGUCAGAAAGCCAGCUAAAUCUGGAGGCCCUGGGGCUGUCUUCAUUUUUGUACCCUGAUUCUUCUGGAGUUGGGUACACACGCAGUCCGGCAUUGGCGGAGUCCUCAGGACAUAUCUUCAGUGAAUGAUAUUGAAAAUUUAUUUAGCAGAAAAUUCUCCUAUAAUGUGAGGCGCCCUACUCCUUCAUCCCCACCUCAAGUGCCUUAUAUAUUUCAAAGGUGAUACCAAAGUCAAAUUCUGUGAUGAGUAGAGAAAGUACAGAAACAAAUCUUGAGUAAAUAUACCUCCCUUGUGUCCUGGAUAUUACCCAACGAGUCACUGGGCUGCUGCCAUGGAACAGGCCCAGUUUAAAUCCUGAGAUGGCUGGGCCCUCAUCCUCAAUGAUCUUUGUCUACCAAGGGAGACAAGUAAUAAACAAGCAAUGACAACAUCAUGUAAUAAGCUCUGCAUUUGGAGCCAAGUACCACAUGUCUAGGCCUGAUGUGGCAAGAGAUGGGGAUCUGGGCUGUAUCGAGGACGAUCCACAUCCUUCACCACUUGCCAUCCCAUCUUUGGUCACCAAGAUGACCUGUCUGGGCUGCACUUUCUUUGAGCUCUCAGUUCCUAUCCUAUCAUGGGACUUCUUUGCCUCAGCUUAUUUGUCUUGAAUAAGGACCAGGAAUUAGAAUACUGUAGGGAUGGCUCUAACCAGGGCCUAAACAGAGGGGAAAUGUGAAGAAAAUUAGAUUUUUAAUAUGUUUUUAAAUGCUUUUAGAAUUUAUCAUGAGGCUCUCAAUUACGAAACUGAGCUAUCCUAAAAACAAAGAGGGGUGCACCUCUGGGUAGCUCAGUCAGUUAAGCAUCUGCCUUUGGCUCAGGUGAUGAUCCCGGGGUCCUGGGAUUGAGCCCUGCAUGAGACUCCCUGCUCAGUGGGGAGUCUGCUUCUCUCUCUCCCUCUGCCUCUCCUGCCUGCUCCUGUGCUCCUUCUCUCUCUCUCUCUCUUUCUUUCUCUCCCUCUCUCAAGUAAAUAAAUAAAAUCUCCAAACAAACAAAACACUGGCAUUUAAUAACCAUCCUGGUUUUUCUGAGACUGUCCCAGUUCUCGCACUGAAAGUUCCAUGUCCUAGGAAACCCUUCAAUCAGGACAUGAGGGAGCAGCUGGUCACAGCUCCUGUCCAGAGUCCCUCUCUACCCAGCUCUCUCGGCCUCCAGAUUUGUGCUUCCCUGCUCUUCCCACUCCUUCAAGGCUUGGAGAUGUUAAUGGUUACCCCCUUGACCACUCUCAGGGCUCUAUGCCAUCAUUUGGAAUUUCCCAAAAGCUUGACCACACAUUUGUACAUUGUACACACACUGAAUAUGUUUUUGUUUACUGCUAGAAUGCUGACAAAUAUAAACAUCAGGAGAACAACUAGCUCAGUGAUUUCUAAACACAAGUUUGGGCACAGUUCUGUACUGGCCACAUCAGCAUCACUUAGGAAGCUUUAGAGAGUAUAGAUUCCUGGACCUCACACCUGGACUACUAAUUCAGAGGACCCUGGGUGAGGCCUCACUCUGUAUUUCUAGUAGCUUCCCUGCCAAUCCUGCCACUGUAGCCAGAUCUGGGAAGAGUUCACUUCCGAGGCCCUGAUAUAGCUGGACCCUUUCUCUUCAUCAGUAUUUUGUUGUCGUUGUUGUUGUUGUUGUUCUGGCUUCACAUUUCACUCUCUUUGAUUUCAUUUUGGUUAGAAACAAAAGAAUACAGCACAUACAGAAACUAUGCUUGUCCUCCAGAAAGGUG